ACCGGUGAGCGUGUUUCUCGAAAAAGAUGGAAAUCUUAAAAAUCUUGAGAAGAGUGGCGAAUAAGGUGACGGUAAAAAGAGACAGGAACGGAUAUCUGAGGUAAAGAUCAAUCAAUGCGAAGUUGGAGAGUUUCUAAGAAAAACAAAAAAAAUGGCAUUGAAUUAUUUGGCUAACGGUUACAU
ensembl:ncRNA F23H12.16 ncRNA